rnacentral:rRNA from 1 species
AUUCCAGCUCCAAUAGCGUAUAUUAAAGUUGUUGCAGUUAAAAAGCUCGUAGUUGGAUUUGUGGUGCUGCCUGCAGUCCAAUUAGUUUUGGUGCUAGCGGGUGGUGUCAUCUUUGGGUGGAACCUGUGGGGCAUUAGCUUGUUUUGCAGGGGAAAUUCAUCGUUUACUGUGAAAAAAUUAGAGUGUUCAAAGCAGGCUUACGCCAAUGAAUAUACUAGCAUGGAAUAAUGAAAUAGGACUUUGGUACUAUUUUGUUGGUUUGCGCGCCAAAGUAAUGAUUAAUAGGGACAGUUGGGGGUAUUCGUAUUCCAUAGUCAGAGGUGAAAUUCUUGGAUUUUUGGAAGACGAACUACUGCGAAAGCAUUUACCAAGGAUGUU